rnacentral:lncRNA from 1 species
CCCUAUAUAAAUGACUUCAUAAUGGCUGAAAUUGAAAAAUUUAGGCAGAAAUAGCUAGUUUCUCUAAGGAUCACCAAGUAUAGAAGAUUUGAAUAAUUAGCAUGCACACAUUAAAUCACUUAUGCAGAUGACUGCUUCAUACGAGAGUAAUUCAGCACAAGUUUACAUUGUGCUCACAGUUGAUCAGGACCUGAAAUGAAUCUGGAAGAUCCCUGGAGCUCAUAUCAUGUACAUUCCUAACUAUAGAUACAACGUUGAAUGGAUGACAGAUAAUUAUGGAGC